AAUGACUGACCCUCAACUCCUGCGUAAAAGCUCCCAAGGAUACGGUAAGGUGUAGGGAGGGUAGGUGCAGGGGUCACCUGUAGGUCACCUGUAGGGCAGUUCCUGUAGGGAACCCAGGUCUGGAUGCCCGGCCUCCACACCAGCACUGCUCCUCCCCCAGCCUAUGGUAGCAAUGCUCCUCUGAACUUGGGCCCUCAGUGGUGCAUGCAAAGACCCUGACUACCUACCUACUCACUGGACAAGAGGAACUCAACCCCUGAGCUCCCGGGCACUACCUGAGAAGCUAGAGUGCUUCUUCUCGGGCCAGAGCUGCGGAAAGCAGGGAUGGCAUGCAUCGGGAGGUGUUUGGGAGCCCUAAAGCCUCCUCUCUGGAUGUUGGCAGCAUGGAUGCGUGUGCUCUUGGGGCUGCCUGCUGCCCCAGCUCCUGGUGUGCAGGAUGGAAUCAGUCUUAAUCCUGCCUGGAAAAUCUGCAGGACCCCUGCAAGGCCUUAGAAGCAACUGAACUGAGUAUGUGGCAAAGAGGAGCUUUCAAGAAGGCAAGGCAGAGAACGAGGUGUAAAGGAAGAGUGUGACUAUCUGUGUGCCAGGCAGGGCUGUGCCCCUACGGGGCUCAGUGGGAGCACCCUACCAGAGAAGCAGGUGCUCCAGAGGAGUCAUGACCCACAGCCAGUCUGCUAACAUCGUGCCUCUCCUGUCUGUUUCCCAGCAGAAGCAAGUGAGAGGCAAGGCUGCCUGGUGGGAGCUGGGCCCUGAGGUUAGGAACAAGCCACCAACUCAGGGGUGCGUCAGGGGAACCCUUUGCUCCAAGCCUCUCACCAGUGAGACAGAGCGGCACUUCUGCUAUGCAGAGGAGUCUGAAGAAUAAGAUGGGCGUUGGACACCAUCCUAGCCCCGGGCUGGUAGGGCUGGAGAGAAGCCCAGCCGCCACUUCCUCCCACAAUUCAGGUUCACUUGAAAGCACUAAGGCCCAGGUCGGACAGAUCCAGGAAGCAAAAGAACAGAAUGGGAUUUUUGUGCCAUAACCAUUCCAUCCAGGGAGCCCAGCAACUGUGUGCUAAUGGUUCCAAAGUCCAUAUUGUUCCAGAUCAAGAACCUGGCCCCUGUGAUCUGCCUGGCCUUUGCCCAGCUCCAGAAAAGCCAGGCCUCACAUCUCCACAGCGUCAGGGCCAGGUCAGGAUCUAUUGGGAAGACUGGUCUCCAAGAGCCCACUUUCCUCCAUGAGCAGCAAGAGGUCUCCCAACACACAGUGGAAAUCUAGGUGUGUACUAGUGGGAGAAGGCAUCCAUCCCAGUCUGAACCAUGGCCUUCCCUCAGCAAGCCGUGCUGGCUAGUCUGUGUCAACUUGAUAGAAGCUAGAUUCAUCGGGGAGAAGGGGGUUUCAAUUGAGAAAAUGCCUCCUUAAGAUCCAGCUGUAAGGCAAUUUCUUAAUGAGUGAUUUAUGGGGGAAGGCCUAGCCCAUUGUGGGUGGUGCCAUCCCUGGGCAGGUGGUCCUGGGCUUUAUAAGAAAGCAAGCAGGCUAAUCAAGCCAUGGGAGCAAGCCAGUGAGCAGCACCCCUCCAUGGCCUCUGCAUCAGCUCUUGCCUCCAGGUUCCUGCCCUGAGUUCCUGUCCUGGCUUUCUUCAGUGAUGAACAGUGAUACAGAAGUGAAAGCCAGAUAAACCUUUUCAUGGUAUAUUACUACAGCAGUAGAAACCCUAAGGCCAAGAUCUUAGCCUUCACACCAGGUAUAUGACCUGACCCUAGGAGAUCCAUCUGUUCCUAGCCCAGCCUGGAAGAUAUCAUACCUCUGGGUAGGAAAUUUACUGAGUGGACAUUUUCUUGGUGGUCUUCUAUAAGGAUCCUGUAGGCUCCAUGACAGCAGGAGUGACACCUUCUAGCUGCCCAGCUCCUGGCCAGGCCCCUCAGGUUCAGAAGGACACACUCUGAAGCAUCCAGGAUCAUUUAUUCCCUCCAAGAAUAGGGUUUUCAGGAUAGGAGGACUGAGUACCAAAGGGCAACCAGAUGGCCUUCAGCCAGAGGAGGAGAGGAGCAUGAAGAGGAGGCUUGCACCACAAGGGCAGUUUCCAGAAACAGUGGGACACUACAUCAGAGCUGAGGAAAGGCAGUGGAAGAUGUGUCUGCAAACGCAUGCCCUGAAUCCAGCAAGACUCCCUCAAUUCUGCAAGGAAUGUUCCGAGGACCAAGCCUGCACUGAGAUCACACAUGACAAUGACCACACAGAUCAUACAUGCUUCGGAGGAAAGUCCUGGUAGGUGAAUGUGUACCAGAGAAGAACCCAAGGCCAAAAGAAACCACAGAGAGGAAGAGGGGACCAUCCUCCAGCCCCGAUGAAGCCAGAAGGAAAGCAUCAUUGGUGCUGAAAUUACAUCUGUACACCCCCCUCCCCAGCCAACUCCAAGUUUAUGAGGUGCUGGAGAUGGAUCCCAGAGCAUGCUAAGCAAGCACUCUAUCAGCUGAACCUUGUCUUUGGUGCCCCAGGACCUGGUGACAGGACCAUGACAGGAGCCACGGUUCCACGGAGGAAUGACUGAUGAUUCCACGGAGGAUUGCCUGAUGCUCAGAGCUGAGACCCCAGAUGACAAAGAAGAAGAAGAAGAAGAAGAAGAAGAAGAAGAAGAAGAAGAAGAAGAAGAAGAAGAAGAAGAAGAAGAAGAAGAAGAAGAAACCCAGCGGAUCCCAGCAAGUGUUGGUGUGGAGCAUUCUGCCACUGUAUGGCCAAGGUCAUCAGAAACAAGAGUGUGAGAAACCACCACUGCCAAGAAGGGCCUAAGGCGCAGAUCACCUGCAAUGAGGCUCCUGAAUGGGAUCUUGGCACAGAAGAAGGCAAUAGAGGAGAACUGAGGAACGGAUUUUGGAAGCAGUGUCUUGGUCUGAGUUGGUAACGAGGAGAAGGGUGCCUUUCCGGUAGGAGGUGCUUACUACAGUGGGACUGGUGUGAGACCAUUGGGGACUCUGGGGCAGCUUCAUGAUCUCCCUGCACAUGUAAAGCUGUUAGGAAAACGGGGUUUAUUUUCAAAGAAGAAAAUCAUAUAGGGAAAACAUUAAGACAGAUUUUGCUGGUGGCAAAGAAGCAUAUGAAAAGUUGCCGUUAUUCAUUGGGGAAGAAAGCAAAUUAAAACGCCGAUAGCAGCCCAACACGCCCACUACGGUGGUCAGAAGGAAAAUAAAGUGAGCAGGGCUGGGGGGCACCAUUGGUACAGCACCUGCCUAGCAAGCAGAAAGCCUGGGUUCAACCCCAGCUACACACACACACACACACACACACACACACACGCACACAAAACACAAAAUGUGGUCAAGGACAAAAACAAACAGAACGUACUAACUGGUGCAAGGAAAAGGAGCAAAUGACCACUUGUUUUAGCAGGCUUUGCCACUCCCACUACAGAACACAGCAUGAAAGUUACUUUAAAAGUUAAAGAUGGAAGCUGGGAGUCCUGGCACAUGCUUGUAAUCCCAGCACUCUGGGAGGGAGAGGCAGGAGGAUCUUCUGUGUGUUCAAGGCCAGCCUGGUCUACAAAGCGAGUCCAGGACAGCCAAGGCUACACAGAGAAACCGUGUCUCGAAGCAAACAAGAUUUUUUAAAAAGUUAAAGAUUAGGGGUUGGGGAGGAGGAGGUCAGAUCCCCUGUAACUGGAGCUAUAAGCAGUUGGGAGCCACCACGUUGGUCCUGGGAAUUGAGCUAAGUCCUCUGGAAGAGCAACAAGUGCUCUUAACUGCUGAGCCAGCUCUCCAGCCCCUCUUUCUGGUUUUCAAAGUGGAAACUCACUCCAGCUCCCCAAUUCUACAAACCCAGCAACCCACCCAGGUCCAUGUAACAGAAUCCCACCGCUGGAAUGGCCAGCCUUUGUCCACUCGCCUUACACAGCCCACAGGCCAGGUAGAGUGGAGCAGAGGCCGGAAGUUGUGUGCCUCUGCUGAUGCCUGUCUUUGAAUGUGUCUUGGAUUUGAAAAUAAACUCCAUUUAAUACGCAGCCUGUUACUCAUUCCCUUGGCAGACCCAGGGUAGGUGUCUAAUAGAUGGCUUGGCAGGAAGUUGGUAGCCUGUAACAAAACCCAAUAGGGGUGACCAGGCUGGGCCCCCACCACCAGCACACUGAUGGAAAUUUCCAGAGAUAUUUCUAUCUCCCUCAUAUCUUUAAUUUUUCAAAUGGACCUCUCUCCAGUUGCCAGGUUAGCUCUGCUGCCAAGGCUGGGCGAAUGCUGGCAGCUCCCCAGGGAAGCAUUUUAAUCUCCAGCAUCAAGCCAGACCCCUCUUCCAUCCGCCAUCUGCCUGUCUCCAGCCACCUCCAUCCAGGGAAACCAGGAUGGGGCCGAGGGCCUAAUCGGAUCACAGCUCCGAGCUGUGCACUAAUCAGAUUGCUCUGCAGCCUGGCCCUGCCAGGGGAGCCUUCAGACUCCGGUCUCAGCCUGCUCAACGUGCACACCCUCCUCCCACCUCAACUGGAAAGGAGUGGAGGUCCUGUUUUGGAGAAGGCAAGCCACUUCCACCAGCAGGGCUGCUUUGUGGUCUGUGUCUAGAAGUUCCUUCUCUUUCUUGGAUGGUCCUGGAGAACGGAUGAGAAGUUUGAAAGUGCCAAAGCUACCUUGAUACUAUAAGGGAGGCUCCCCCAAGGCUCUACCUCAAGACCCAGCUAUACCACUCUUGGACAUACACCCAAAAGAUGUUCCACCGCACAAUAAGGAUAUUUGCUCAGCUAUAUUCAGGGAGGCUUUAUUUGUACUAGCCAGAAACUGGAAACGACCCAGACGUCCCUCAACUGCGGAAUGCACAAAGAAACUGUGGUCCAUCUACACAAUGGAAUACUACUCAGCCAUUGAAAACAAGGACAUCAUGAAAUUU